CCGUACUCUGCGGUUAACCCAGUGUGUGUCACCAUGGCGACCCACUAAAUGACUGUAUGGACGAUGUGUAGACCAGUGUCAUCAACAUGGUGAUGUCAUUCAGCCAAUGAUGUCACCAAGCAUGCAUCCAUCCUCAAAUAGAGAAAGUUGAUGAAGAUGCUGUUUGAUUGUGGUGAGAGCCCCAUGGACCCUGAGCUCAUCUCCUUCUGCAUCAACCUGGCUGCCAACAAGAGGAAUGCACAGGUCAUCUGUGAAGGUAAUGGUCUGAAGAUGCUGAUGAAGAGGGGUCUGAAGCUAAAGGAUGUUCUGAUCAUGAAGAUGAUCA